rnacentral:rRNA from 1 species
CUACCAUGGCAGUCACGGGUAACGGAGAAUUAGGGUUCGAUUCCGGAGAGGGAGCCUGAGAAACGGCUACCACAUCUAAGGAAGGCAGCAGGCGCGUAAAUUACCCAAUCCUGAUUCAGGGAGGUAGUGACAAGAAAUAACAACCCGGGGGUCUCACGACCUUACGGGAUUGCAAUGAGAACAAUUUAAAUAACUUAACGAGGAACAAUUGGAGGGCAAGUCUGGUGCCAGCAGCCGCGGUAAUUCCAGCUCCAAUAGCGUAUAUUAAAGUUGUUGCAGUUAAAAAGCUCGUAGUUGAAUAUCUAACAGCUUGUAAUUUGGCUUCGGUCGAAUUGCAAGUUGGCAUCCGUCUAUAAAUUAGGAACGGCAUUCACUUGUUGCCCUAAGGAGUGGACAAUUUACUUUGAAAAAAUUAGAGUGUUUAAGGCAGGCUAUCGCUUGAAUACAUUAGCAUGGAAUAAUGGAAUAGGACUGUGAUCUAUUUCGUUGGUUAUCAGAUCAUAGUAAUGAUUAAUAGGGACAGUUGGGGGCAUUAGUAUUUAAUUGUCAGAGGUGAAAUUCUUGGAUUUAUUAAAGACUAACUAAUGCGAAAGCAUUUGCCAAGGAUGUUUUCAUUAAUCAAGAACGAAAGUUAGGGGAUC